ACAAUUGUCGUCUGUUUCUUUUAGAGGGGUAUAUUUUAUCAUUUUCUAUAUUGUGUGUCCACGUGCUUUUGCCUCAUCGAUGGUUUGGCACUGGUUUUGGCUUCAAUCUCUGCAACGUGUUCAUGUUGCGUUCAUCACCGCCUCUCUCGCCCAAUAUCUAUCUUCCGCCAUCAUUGCUCACCUCUUCACCGCUAAAUGCAUCAAUUUCAAUAUGCUGAAGAAUACCUUUUUUUCAUCUCUUUCUUUUUUCUCUAUCACUCCACACUUACACCGCUCCUUAAACCAACCAACCCAUCGAUCGUCUCCACCGCAUAUCCCUUCUUCUUCGUCACCACCUGUUGGUGUAGCAGCGGAUAUCUCCUUCGAUCGUUUCCACCAUCUCCCGCUAACGUACGCCUUGCCGAAUCGGCUACCACCAGACAACCAGCUUCACUCUUCUGCAUGUCGGUUUUGAAAGAAGGAGGCAUCAUCAUGCACCUUUGACACCUCCUUCGGCCAGCUUACCCUACGACUUUUACCACUACCACCAUAGGUGUUUCCUUAAUUUUUUUGGGCGUAUUGUUGUACGCCUCUGUUCCUUCAAUUUCUUCGCCGCCUCUAUAAUCCAUUCACAGAUUGGUACUGUCGAUGACUUGAUACUACCACUUCUGGGACGGAUCUGCUUCAGAAGGUCACCACAGUACCACCACUACUCCUUCAUCCAAGCCAUCAAACCCUAAAUCGAUGCUCUGAUUUGUUGUGUUUGAGCGUAAGUUACCGGAUCUCACCACCACCAUCGCUCCACCGACUUUCACCACCACCAUCCCUCCACUGAGGGUUCCAAUGCACAAUCGAUUCAGACUGGUUGCUGUGGAUUUCGAAUUUCCGAUUUCUCUCUCAUGUCACCGUCAAUAUCUGAUUUUAGUAUGUGUUCAUAUUCAAGCUCUUCACAAACGGCAUGCAAUUUCAAACUCUUUCAUGAAUAAACUUGAUUCUUUGAAUGAACUUUGACUGAUCUUUAAUCAUUUUGAAAAACUGCAAGAAAUGUGAUCACAAAUUCCAUGGCUACAAUUGAAUUCUCAACAUACACUCAAUCCACUUGGUGAGAAAGCAUAGAUUGACAUCGAGAAAGAAAAUGCAUUAUUUGAUGAAAAAGUGAUCUGUAAGAUCUCAAAUUCUUUGAAAAGCCAUACGAAAGAAUAGAGAUAUCUUGAUAUUAAAUUUCCUCCUCCAGAUUUCCUGAUUUUAUCUUCCAGACUUUCACUACGGAAGAAAUAGGAAACUAUAGCAUUUCUAAAAGAGAUCAAAGAUGUUUUUGACUGAUUAUAAAAGAGAUCAAAGAUGAUUGGGAAUGAAGGUACAAACUUGCAAUGCAUAACAACAUAAGGCUUAUACUUAACCAUGAGAAAAUUAUGUCAGAAUAAAUCAUGCACAACCACGAAUUGAAAUGCAACAGGUCAGAUUUUUUUGUUUUAUUUUUUUUCAUCUUUUUUUUCAACUACUUUAUUUUCUGAUUGAUUUCAUCUCGGUUAUUUUGUUCUCAGAUAAAUUCUUUUGUAGAUUUGUUUUCAUUAUUUAGGUUUUUAUGUAUUGGAGUUGUUGAAGUCUUCAUAAAUUACAAAUUUUGUAUGUUUAGUUAUUUUUUCUCAAAGGGUAAUAAAAUGAUGAUUAUGACUG